rnacentral:tRNA from 6 species
GCUGCGGUAGCUCAGUGGUAGAGCACUUCAUUGGUAAUGAAGAGGUCGAGAGUUCAAUCCUCUCUCGCAGCA